rnacentral:rRNA from 1 species
UACGUAGGGUGCAAGCGUUGUCCGGAAUUAUUGGGCGUAAAGAGCUCGUAGGCGGUUUGUCGCGUCUGCUGUGAAAACGCGAGGCUCAACCUCGCGCCUGCAGUGGGUACGGGCAGACUAGAGUGUGGUAGGGGAGACUGGAAUUCCUGGUGUAGCGGUGGAAUGCGCAGAUAUCAGGAGGAACACCAAUGGCGAAGGCAGAUCUCUGGGCCGACCCUGACGCUGAGGUGCGAAAGCGUGGGGAGCAAACAGG